ensembl:lncRNA
AUGGGAACUAAGGAUGUAAUAAAGUCUAGAAGCAGGAUACGAGCCCCAGAUAACUGAGAUGCAUGUGAAUGGAAUGAUUUCCAUGAGCCCAGAUGCCUGCAUCUUCCCACACAUAGACGAGCGCUAAAUGCCUUAACUUGAGAUACCUGGUUUUCCUUAAUCAACAGUCAUCUCUGACGUUCAGCCUACCUGCCUGUUGUUGCAAACUUCUAUAUAAACUGACUCCUUCCCCCAGUUCCUCGGAGCAGUUCGCUCGGGGCCACUUGAGAUGCUGCCUCCCCGGCUUGCAGUCCUAAGAAUUCCCACUGAAUAAAACAACUCUCUCCUUUCAGGUUGUGACUGAAUUUUUCAGUUCACAGUUCACUAUCUUGAUUGUGGUGACGGUUUCAAGAUACAGUAUGGUGGUGGUGGUUUAGUCGAUAAGUUUGUGUUCCACUCUUUGCGACCCCAUGGACUAUAACCCACCAGGCUUCUCUGUCCAUGGGAUCCUCCAGGCAAGAAUACUGGAGUGGGUUGCCAUUUCCUUCUCCAGACAGUAUAUAGGAAGAAACCAAGGAAACUAUGAAGAAAAGAUUCAAAAGCUGAUAAAUAGGGAGCUGGAAUUUGAACUCAGACAUUCAAAAAUCUACGUUCUUAACCAGCACAGGAGUCAAUUCUGUAGAUAAUGGAUCUGAACCUUAUUUUUGACUCAGUUAUAUAUUAAGUGCCUACAGUAUAUAAAAUCCUUUGUUAAAUAUUUUUGCUGGAUCCUAGGGAAGAGGUUGGAGAAGGCAAUGGCAACCCACUCCAGUACUCUUGCCUGGAAAAUCCCAUGGGCGGAGGAGCCUGGUGGGCUGCAGUCCAUGGGGUCACUAAGGGUUGGACUCGACUGAGCGACUUCACUUUCACUUUUCACUUUCAUGCAUUGGAGAAGGAAAUGGCAACCCACUCCAGUGUUCUUGCCUGGAGAAUCCCAGGGAUAGCAGAGCCUGGUGAGCUGCCGUUUAUGGGGUCGCACAGAGUCAGACACAACUGAAGCGACUUAGCAGCAGCAGCAGGGAAGAGGUGGGCUUCCCAGGUGACGCUAGUGGUAAAGAACCCACCUGCCAAUGCAG